GUUGAUCCCGCCGGAGGCCACUGCUAUUGGGAUCCGACUAAGCCAUGCGAGUCGAGAGGGUUCGGCCCUCGGCAGACUGCUCAGUAACACGUGGAUAACCUAACCUUAGGUGGAAGAUAACCUCGGGAAACUGAGAAUAAUAUUCCAUAGAUCUAGGAUGCUGGAAUGCAUCUAGAUUGAAAGUUCCGACGCCUAAGGAUGGGUCUGCGGACUAUCAGGUUGUAGUCAGGGUAAAGACCUGACUAGCCUACGACGGAUAUGGGUUGUGAGAGCAAUAGCCCAGAGACGAUAUCUGAGACACGAUAUCGGGCCCUACGGGGCGCAGCAGGCGCGAAAUCUUCACAAUGUGCGAAAGCACGAUGAGGGGAUCCCAAGUGCUGGCACGUAAGUGUCAGCUGUUUCUUAGUCUAAAAAACUGAGAGAGUAAGGGCUGGGUAAGACGGGUGCCAGCCGCCGCGGUAAUACCUGCAGCUCAAGUGGUGGCCGCUAUUAUUGGGCCUAAAACGUCCGUAGCCUGUUUAGUAAAUGCUUGGGUAAAUUGUGUAGCUUAACUAUACGAAUACCGGGUAGACUGCUAAACUUGGGACCGGGAGAGGCUAGAGGUACUCCUGGGGUAGAGGUGAAAUUCUGUAAUCCUAGGGGGACCACCAGUGGCGAAGGCGUCUAGCUAGAACGGGUCUGACGGUGAGGGACGAAGCCCUGGGGCGCAAACCGGAUUAGAUACCCGGGUAGUCCAGGGUGUAAACGCUGCUUGCUUGAUGUUAGUUGGGCUCCGAGCCCAACUAGUGUCGGAGAGGAGUUGUUAAGCAAGCUGCCUGGGAAGUACGGUCGCAAGACUGAAACUUAAAGGAAUUGGCGGGGGAGCACAGCAACGGGCGGAGCGUGCGGUUUAAUUGGAUUCAACGCCGGAAAUCACUAGUGCGGCCGCCUGCAGGUCGACCAUAUGGGAG
rnacentral:rRNA from 1 species